AGCUCAUUAAGUGCAUGCAAAAGUCCUUUAAAAUAUUUUUCACCAAAAUACACCAUUCACCAAAAUACACAAAAAUCUCUCCAUCUGGUGAAUCAUUUUUCAAAAUAUUUUACAUCUAAAUAUAGAUGUUACUGUAGCAACAUCUAUAUCAUUUUUUAUUAGAAUACCUUCCGUCCGGAGCUGGCAUAAACUAACUCUUUUACACCACCAAUAAUAUAGUGCCACAUCAGCUUUUUAAUGAAAAGGCAAUACAUUCUAAUACACUCAAUCACAGCUCACAUAAACCUUCAAUCCUCAAUCAAACUACACGAUAGUCUCAAACAAACCCCAAAUCAGAUUCCUCCUCUCCUCUUAGCAUCGGAGCUCCACCUCGCCGCUGCACACGUCGUCUCUGGAGCUGGCGCCGCCGCACCGAACUCAAGGAAGUGUUCAAGACUCAAGAGAGCCAUUCUACAGCCUACACCACCUUAAAGUUUUGCACUACAGAAUGUUCAGGAAGUUAUAAAACUUCAAGUCUCAACCCAAACAAGUGUUGUUGGAAGUAGUGGAGUUGGUAGGUAUGGAAACGGAGUUGGAGCUGGAAAAGGAAUUGGAACUGGUGUUGGAAAAGGAAGAGCUGGAAAUUAAGCUAGAAAAGAUUGAAGGGUAGUAGCAGUGUUAGUUUUGUUGGACCUUUUAUAUAUUAGGACCUUUGAUUGUUUGAACCUUUUAUGGUUACUGUUUUGUACAGCUGUCCAUAAGCUUAUUUGAUGGUGUUAAUGGACAAAAGUAACCUAUUUUAUGUUGAUCUUAGGUAGGACCUUUGGUUAAGCUUAUAUGAUGGUGAUAUUGGACAUAAGUAUCCUAUUUUUUGUUGGAUAAUAGUUUACAAAGCCUUUAUGUUAACAACUAAGUAUUAAAGCAACUCGACUAAAUUUAUUUA